UACGUAGGGCGCAAGCGUUGUCCGGAAUUAUUGGGCGUAAAGAGCUCGUAGGUGGUUUGUUACGUCUGCUGUGAAACCUAGGGCUUAACCCCGGGCGUGCAGUGGAUACGGGCAGGCUGGAGGCAGGCAGGGGAGAACGGAAUUCCCGGUGUAGCGGUGAAAUGCGUAGAGAUCAGGAAGAACACCCGUGGCGAAGGCGGCCCACUGGGCCGGACCUGACGCUGGAGGCACGGAAGGCGUGGGGAGCGAACGGG
rnacentral:rRNA from 1 species